GACGAACGCUGGCGGCGUGCUUAAUACAUGCAAGUCGAGCGGUAAGGCCCGGUACUUGUAGGGUGCUCGUGUGGCGAACGCGUGUGUAUCACGUGAGUAGCCUGCCCCUUACUUCGGGGUACCACCAGGGGACUGGGGUUAAUACCCGGCAUAAGCUCCUUAUACACAGGGUGGGUGUGAAAAUUUCGGCGUUGCGGGAUGCACUGGCGGCUUAUCAGCUUGUUGGUGGGGUAGUGGCGUACAAGGGCGUGGACGGGUAGCCGGACUGAGAGGGUGACAGGCCACAUUGGGACUGAGAUAGGGGCCAGACUGCUACGGGAGGCAGCGGUGGGGAAUAUUGCACGAUGGGCGGAAGCCGUAUGCAGCAACGCCGCGUGCGGGAUGACGGCCUGCGGGGUGGAAACCGCGUGCGCGUGUGACGAAGAGUAAGUGACGGUAAUGGGUAAAGAAGCAACGGCUAACUACGUG
rnacentral:rRNA from 1 species